UUCAUACUCCCUCCGUCCCAAAAUAAGUGUCUCAACUUUGUACUAACUUUAGUCUCAACUUUGUAAUAACUUUAGUACAAAGUUAUACUAAGGUUGAGACACUUAUUUUGGGACGAAGGGAGUAUAUC
rfam:Triticum urartu cultivar G1812 contig1083976, whole genome shotgun sequence.